GCCCGGUUAGCUCAAUCGGUAGAGCGUGAGACUCUUAAUCUCAAGGUUGCGGGUAAGUUGAUCGUGAGAUCUACUACAUCUGCUACAUCUAGCUAACAUAUUCUGAUAGGUUCGACCCCCGCAUCGGGCU